CGCUCCCUUUUUCGUUCCCUUCGCUGAGGGUAGCGGUCCACCAAGCAGGCGCGGGCAACAUGUGCUGGAGACCUGGCCUGGUAGAGCAAGGCCAGGCGCGGCCCCAGGAUAGAACCAGCAGGAAGCGCCGGUGCUCUGGUUAUGAACCCACUGUGUCCAUUGCCCCCUGUGACCCUCAUGGAGGAGGCAGCGGUCCAUGGCAGCAAGGUGGGAGCAACAUGAGCCUGGGAUACCUGGCUCACUGA
rnacentral:lncRNA from 1 species